AGAGUUUGAUCCUGGCUCAGGAUGAACGCUAGCGGCAGGCUUAACACAUGCAAGUCGAGGGGCAGCGCGAUGUAGCAAUACAUUGGCGGCGACCGGCGCACGGGUGCGUAACACGUAUGGAAUCUGCCCUGUACUGGAAGAUAACCCGGCGAAAGUCGGACUAAUAUCCCAUAAUAGCCGAGGUGGCAUCACCUUGGUUUGAAAGCUCCGGCGGUACAGGAUGACCAUGCGCACGAUUAGCUAGUUGGUGAGGUAACGGCUCACCAAGGCUACGAUCGUUAGGGGGCCUGAGAGGGUUAUCCCCCACACUGGUACUGAGACACGGACCAGACUCCUACGGGAGGCAGCAGUGAGGAAUAUUGCGCAAUGGAGGCAACUCUGACGCAGCCAUGCCGCGUGCAGGAAGAAGGCGCUACGCGUUGUAAACUGCUUUUAUCCGGGAAGAAACCCCAGGACGUGUCCUGGGUUGACGGUACCGGAGGAAUAAGCACCGGCUAACUUCGUGCCAGCAGCCGCGGUAAUACGAAGGGUGCAAGCGUUAUCCGGAUUCAUUGGGUUUAAAGGGUGCGUAGGUGGGGCGAUAAGUCAGCGGUGAAAUCCUGCAGCUCAACUGCAGAAUUGCCGUUGAUACUGUCGCUCUUGAGUACGCUUGACGUGGGCGGAAUGUGCCGUGUAGCGGUGAAAUGCUUAGAUAUGGCACAGAACACCGAUAGUGAAGACAGCUCACGAAGGCGAAACUGACACUGAGGCACGAAAGCGUGGGGAUCGAACAGGAUUAGAUACCCUGGUAGU
rnacentral:rRNA from 1 species